GACGAACCGUGCGAACGUUGUUCGGAAUCACUGGGCUUAAAGGGCGCGUAGGCGGGCCGCCAAGUCCGGGGUGAAAUCUUUCGGCUCAACCGGAAAAGUGCCUUGGAUACUGGCGGUCUUGAGGGAGGUAGGGGCAUGUGGAACUUCCGGUGGAGCGGUGAAAUGCGUUGAUAUCGGAAGGAACGCCGGUGGCGAAAGCGACGUGCUGGAUCUCUUCUGACGCUGAGGCGCGAAAGCUAGGGGAG
rnacentral:rRNA from 1 species